UAAGAUGUCCCAUAGCAGCCGUACCUAGCUCUCUACAUUUGUCACACUGCAUUUUAUUUGCUUUUUAUGUAAAUGUCUCUCCUACUAGACUAAGAGUACCUCCUGGGAAAAACCAGUGUCUUAUUGGAUUUUUUGUUUUUGCAACACCCAGUUCAGUGCCUGACAUAUAAAAUAGGUGUUCAUAAAAUAUGUCUGAAAUAAGCAGAUGAAUAAACCAUUUUUUAAUUUUUUUAUUCACUCUUAGAACAUAGACACAUCAAGAUUAGGUUUGCCAUUCAUCUAAAAACAUCUUUUUUUUUUGCACUUAGAUUGGCAGAGCCACUUCAUCUCAGCACCUGCUCCUGAAGCAAAAUCGUAGAAAUCCUUCUAGAAUCUCUUGCCAGCUCUUCCUGAUACAACAUCCCUAACUUCAACGAGUGCAAGAAGCAGAAAGCCAAGGCUCUCUUAAUCUGCCCCUAGGUUCCCUUUCUUGCUGUAACUUAUCUUGCAAGGGGCAUGAACACAACCAGUUUCAGGGUGAGGAACUGUGUAAUUGUGCACACACUGAAGAUGGGGACAUAGUUUUCUAUACAGAAUCUCUCUAGUUUCCUGUCCAGAAUCUGUUUUUUCAUCUUUCAGAAGCCCUUUAUUCCAUUUUGCUAAAUAUCUGUGUUUCCCAGGAAUAAAAUUUGAUCUCCAGGCAGCUUUCAGUAUCUGCCCUGCCUCUGUAGCUGGUCUUGGCAUUGUCACAACAAGCAUAUGAACAAAUUGAACAGCAAAUUAAAAAACACUAUGAUGAGCAGGAUUUAAGGGAUGGAUAAAUCAG
rnacentral:lncRNA from 13 species